AAUUUUGAUGCAUUGGAGAGGCUGGUUGCACGGUCACUUUCACUGAAGAAACUCAGGUUAAACCGAUAUGUUUCAAUUGGCCAGUUACACCGUCUGAUGGUGCGAGCUCCACAACUCACACAUCUUGGGACAGGCUCAUUUCGACCAUCAGAGGAUGUGGCUCAGGGUGAACAAGAACCAGAUUAUACAUCUGCAUUUGCUGCUUCCAAAUCCUUAGUUUGCCUAUCUGGCUUUAGGGACAUCAUUCCAGAUUACUUAACAGCAAUUUACCCAGUUUGUGCUAGUCUAACUUCUCUGAACUUAAGCUAUGCAAAUAUCAAUGCUGAACAGCUCAAACCUAUAAUAGGCAAUUGCCAUAAGCUUCAGAUUUUCUGGGUCCUUGAUUCAAUAUGCGAUGAAGGGCUUCAGGCUGUGGCUGCAACAUGCAAGGAACUUCGUGAGCUGCGGGUUUUUCCAAUUGAUGCUCGGGAGGAUAGCGAAGGCCCUGUUUCUGAAGUUGGCCUCCAAGCGAUUUCAGAGGGUUGUAGAAAGCUUCAAUCAAUUUUGUAUUUUUGCCAGCGGAUGACGAAUGCAGCUGUUAUAGCCAUGUCAAAGAACUGCCCAGAUCUUGUGGUAUUCCGUCUUUGUAUAAUGGGACGUCACAG
rnacentral:misc_RNA from 1 species